GAAUGCUUUGGGGUGGGGUGACUGCGUACCUUUUGUAUAAUGGGUCAGCGACUUAUAUUCUGUAGCAAGGUUAACCGAAUAGGGGAGCCGGAGGGAAACCGAGUCUUAAUUGGGCGUUAAGUUGCAGGGUAUAGACCCGAAACCCGGUGAUCUAGCCAUGGGCAGGUUGAAGGUUGGGUAACACUAACUGGAGGACCGAACCGACUAAUGUUGAAAAAUUAGCGGAUGACCUGUGGCUGGGGGUGAAAGGCCAAUCAAACCGGGAGAUAGCUGGUUCUCCCCGAAAGCUAUUUAGGUAGCGCCUCGUGAAUUCAUCUCCGGGGGUAGAGCACUGUUUCGGCUAGGGGGCCAUCCCGGCUUACCAACCCGAUGCAAACUGCGAAUACCGGAGAAUGUUAUCACGGGAGACACACGGCGGGUGCUAACGUCCGUCGUGAAGAGGGAAACAACCCAGACCGCCAGCUAAGGUCCCAAAGUCAUGGUUAAGUGGGAAACGAUGUGGGAAGGCCCAGACAGCCAGGAUGUUGGCUUAGAAGCAGCCAUCAUUUAAAGAAAGCGUAAUAGCUCACUGGUCGAGUCGGCCUGCGCGGAAGAUGUAACGGGGCUAAACCAUGCACCGAAGCUGCGGCAGCGAACGUAUCAC
rnacentral:rRNA from 2 species